GAAAAACCAAAGCUUUGUUUUGUCUUCCUUCCACCAAAGUCAAGCCAAACCUCACCAAAACAACUUCUUCCUUUAACCAAAAUUUACCCUAAGACCAAGAGCUAAAGGAACAGCCAUAUAUUGAAAGGAUUGGAGAAGAAAAGUUGAGAAUUUCAUAUACACCAAGCUUGUAAAUCAAAGGUGAGCUUAUAAUGGGUAGGAAAUGGCAUCUUUUCAUUUAUUCAUGCAUGAAUUUGAAUUAGAAAGCUUUAAUUUAUAGUUUAUUCAAUCCUUCCCUAAGAUAUAAAUUGACCUAGGUGAAGGAACAUCAAAGGGAAAGGAGAUAGCUAGAGAGUAGAAAUGGAAAAAGGAAAGAGGAAUUAAAGAAAGGUU
rnacentral:lncRNA from 1 species